UACGAAGGGGGCUAGCGUUGCUCGGAAUCACUGGGCGUAAAGCGCACGUAGGCGGAUUGUUAAGUCAGGGGUGAAAGCCUGGAGCUCAACUCCAGAACUGCCCUUGAUACUGGCAAUCUCGAGUCCGGAAGAGGUAAGUGGAACUCCGAGUGUAGAGGUGAAAUUCGUAGAUAUUCGGAAGAACACCAGUGGCGAAGGCGGCUUACUGGUCCGGUACUGACGCUGAGGUGCGAAAGCGUUGGUAGCAAACAGG
rnacentral:rRNA from 1 species